GCCCGUAUUCCUGCUCCGGUGUGAGUCGCUACGGUGGCUCUCUCGGCACUAAAACAGGAAGGGACAGUCCACAUCCUUGCGAUAUGGAGCUGGGAAUAUUACUGUUUCUCACAAGAUGUUUAGAGAGAGCUGAUGCCACAUCUGGUCCAGCCGAUGGAAGGUCUUGAAGUUCUCGGACUGGCCGUGACUGAAGAUGGUCCUCUCACUGGAUUUGAGGUUCAGAUGCUCAGUAACAAACUCCACCAAAGAGCCAACAGGGAAGCUUUUGGUUUAUUAAAUGUUGCUAUGAAGCAUGAAGACUAAACUCUCCACAAGGAUCCAAAAUAAGUUGGACUUCUACAUGAGAGCUUUAAUUAUUCUUUAUCUACUACCUGAGAAGUUUGGUUAAUAAAAAAAGACAAAAACUAAUAUUUUCAGCUGAACUAAAGACAGACUUUGUGAUUUUUCUGCUCACAUGUUGUGUUGUUGUAAACUUAUUCUUUCAAAUAAAUAGUUCCCUAACCCCCUGGAAA